UGUCCGGCUGGGUGGUGUUAAAAUGGUCGGCUGGCGUUUACCUAAAACAUCAGCAUUCCUUGUUUAGGCCGGGUAGCUAGCUAGUUAGCCAACUGAAUGUGUCAACCUGCGGUAGCAAUUUAUUUUUGGAAGAUGAACAACAGAUCUACAGAGCAUCAACACACUUUCUAGUCCAAAGCUAUAACCAGACCUUCAGCUUCAGAGCCCGUUACCCAUUUGAGAUAAGCAUCCUGUGAAGGCAACCGUGAGCUGGCAAGAGCUCAGAUGAGUUUCAGCUAAGGCAGUGAGUUCGGCAGUUCAUGCCCCGCCUUCCCCCAGUCCACCACACAAAAGGGUGAAGACCUCUGAUUCACAGAUGGUGGGUGCUCACCUUGUCUGUACAUUUGAUCCAGACACACCCUCACCCACAGCGUGACUGGCCAUAGGAGUAGAAACUGGAGCCACCUAUGAAAGCAGAGACAUGGAUAUCCAGGAAGACACCAGGAGUCUCACAUUUUCGUGGUGCGGUCCCAACACGAUCCAGCCGCAGAAGCAGUAGCUGACGUAGAUGAGCACAGCACAGGUGGAGAAUCGCAUGACGUUGGGCAGUGCCGCCUUCAGUGUGAGGAUGAGGAUCUAGAGGUCAGAUGAGGCCCAGUUCUCAGACUGAAGCAGAAUUUAACAAGCUGCUCCCAGUUUGCAGAUUUAAGUUAAAACUGUUCCAUAUUUCAUGUGAACUCAGCGAUCAAUAACUGUUUAAAUGCAUACAUUAGUCCUUUAAAUGUGUAAUUGUUAAAAUACUUAAAUACCUACUCUGAAAUACCUAGUCUGUAUACACAUGCAGUAUGUGAACAAUAAUGUCUAUAAUACAGUAGUAUUAUGUUUGCAGUGUUUAUAAUAAAGUAGUAUUAUGUUUACACUGUUUAUAAUUGUUUACAGUGUUUAUAAAGUGUAUAUAAUUGUGUUCUUAAAUAUAACUUUGUUCAUUUUUA